ACACGUCUACAUUAGAUACCCCCGUAGUCCCAGCCGUAAACUAUGCGCGUUAGGUGUAUCGGUGACCACGAGUCACCGAGGUGCCGAAGGGAAACCGUGAAACGUGCCGCCUGGGAAGUACGGUCGCAAGGCUGAAACUUAAGGAAUUGCGGGGAGCACCACAACAGGUGGAGCCUGCGGUUUAAUUGGACUCAACGCCGGGAAGCUCACCGGAUAGGACAGCAGAAUGAUUGCCGGGCUGAAGACUCUGCAUGACUAGCUG
rnacentral:rRNA from 1 species